rnacentral:rRNA from 1 species
AUACGGAGGAUGCGAGCGUUAUCCGGAUUUAUUGGGUUUAAAGGGUGCGUAGGCUGUGCGUUAAGUCAGGGGUGAAAUGCCGUCGCUCAACGACGGAGCUGCCCUUGAUACUGGCGUGCUGGAGUACGGAUGCCGUUGGAGGAAUGAGUGGUGUAGCGGUGAAAUGCUUAGAUAUCACUCAGAACACCGAUUGCGAAGGCAUCGGACGAAUCCGUCACUGACGCUGAGGCACGAAAGCGUGGGGAUAGAACAGGAUUAGAUACCCUGGUAUUCCACGCCGUAAACGAUGAUGACUAACCGUCGGCGAUAGACAGCCGGUGGCCAAGCGAAAGCGAUAAGUCAUCCACCUGGGGAGUACGUCGGCAACGAUGAAACUCAAAUGAAUUGGCGGGG